rnacentral:rRNA from 1 species
AUCCGAAGACGUGAUGUGGAGCGAAAUAAAGUAGUGAAGCGUGUGAGCCAUGUGCCGAGAAAAGCUGCUAUUGUGUAAUGCGUGCCCGUACCGUAAACCGACACAGGUGGAUGAGGAGAGAAUCCUAAGGCCGGCGGAAGAAGCAUUGUUAAGGAAUUCGGCAAAAUGACCCCGUAACUUCGGGAGAAGGGGUGCCUGCGAGAGCAGGCCGCAGAGAAUAGGCUCAAGCAACUGUUUAGCAAAAACACAGGUCUAUGCGAAACCGAAAGGUGAAGUAUAUGGGCUGACGCCUGCCCGGUGCUGGAAGGUUAAGAGGAGAGGUUAGCUUCGGCGAAGCUUUGAAUUUAAGCCCCAGUAAACGGCGGCCGUAACGAUAACGGUCCUAAGGUAGCGAAAUUCCUUGUCGGGUAAGUUCCGACCCGCACGAAAGGCGUAAUGAUUUGAGCACUGUCUCGACAAUGCAUCCGGUGAAAUUGAAGUACCAGUGAAGAUGCUGGUUACCCGCGCCAGGACGGAAAGACCCCAUGGAGCUUUACUCCAGUUUGAUACUGGGAUUCGGUACUGCAUGUACAGGAUAGGUGGGAGACGAAGAAGGAUGGACGCCAGUCUGUCCGGAGUCGCUGUUGGGAUACCACCCCUGUAGUACUGGGUUUCUAACCAGUUGCCAUGAACUGGCAAUGGGACAAUGUCAGGCGGGGAGUUUGACUGGGGCGGUCGCCUCCGAAAGGGUAUCGGAGGCGCUCAAAGGUUCCCUCAGAAUGGUUGGAAACCAUUUGAAGAGUGCAAAGGCAGAAGGGAGCUUGACUGCGACACCGACGGGUGGAGCAGGUACGAAAGUAGGACUUAGUGAUCCGGUGGUAUAAAGUGGGAUUGCCAUCGCUCAACGGAUAAAAGCUACCCUGGGAUAACAGGCUUAUCACUCCCAAGAGUUCACAUCGACGGAGUGGUUUGGCACCUUGAUGUCGGCUCAUCGCAUCCUGGGGCUGUAGCAGGUCCCAAGGGUUGGGCUGUUCGCCCAUUAAAGCGGUACGCGACCUGGGUUCAGAACGUCGUGAGACAGUUCGGUCCCUAUCCGGCGCGGGCGGAGGAUAUUUGAGAGGAGCUGUCCUUAGUACGAGAGGACCGGGAUGGACGGACCACUGGUGUAUCUGUUGUCGACCAACGGCAUGGCAGAGUAGCCAAGUCUGGAAGGGAUAAACGCUGAAGGCAUCUAAGCGUGAAGCCCCCCUCAGGAUGAGAUAUCCCUCCUUCGGGAGUAAGACCCCUUGAAGACUACAAGGUAGAUAGGGCAGAGGUGGAAGCAUGGCAACAUGUGGAGCUGACUGUUACUAAUAGGUCGAGGGCUUAAUAA